GACGAACGCUGGCGGCGUGCCUAAUACAUGCAAGUUGAGCGCUGAAGGUUGGUACUUGUACCAACUGGAUGAGCAGCGAACGGGUGAGUAACGCGUGGGGAACCUGCCCUUGACCGGGGGACAACCUUUGGAAACGAAGGCUAAUACUGCAUAAAACCUUUAAACACAUGUUUUAAGUUUGAAAGAUGUAAUUGCAUCAUUCAAAGAUUAUCCUUCGUUGUAUUAGUUGGUUGGUAAGGUAUAUGCGCACCAAGGCGAUGAUACAUAGCCGACCGGAGAGGAUGGUCGGCCACAAUGGGAGUGUGACACGCCCCAAACGCCUACGGAAGGCGGCAGGAGGGAAUCGUCAGCAAGGGACGGAAGACAGACCGAGCAGCGCCGCGUGAGUAAAGAGCGAUGUCGGGUCGGAAAACUCUGUUUGUAGAGAAGAACGUUGGUGAGAGUCGAAAGCACAGAAAGUGACGGUAACUACACAGGAAGGGACGGCUAACUACGUG
rnacentral:rRNA from 1 species